GAUGAACGCUGGCGGCGUGCUUAACACAUGCAAGUCGAACGGCGAAGCCAAGCUUGCUUGGUGGAUCAGUGGCGAACGGGUGAGUAACACGUGAGCAACCUGCCCUGGACUCUGGGAUAAGCGCUGGAAACGGCGUCUAAUACUGGAUAUGAGCCUCUUCCGCAUGGUGGGGGUUGGAAAGAUUUUUUGGUCUGGGAUGGGCUCGCGGCCUAUCAGCUUGUUGGUGAGGUAAUGGCUCACCAAGGCGUCGACGGGUAGCCGGCCUGAGAGGGUGACCGGCCACACUGGGACUGAGACACGGCCCAGGCUCCUACGGGAGGCAGCAGUGGGGAAUAUUGCACAAUGGGCGAAAGCCUGAUGCAGCAACGCCGCGUGAGGGAUGACGGCCUUCGGGUUGUAAACCUCUUUUAGCAGGGAAGAAGCGAAAGUGACGGUACCUGCAGAAAAAGCGCCGGCUAACUACGUG
rnacentral:rRNA from 1 species